rnacentral:rRNA from 1 species
AGUAGGGAAUAUUCCACAAUGAGCGAAAGCUUGAUGGAGCGACACAGCGUGCAGGAUGAAGGUCUUCGGAUUGUAAACUGCUGUUAUAAGGGAAGAACAACUAGUAGAGGAAAUGCUAUUAGCCUGACGGUACCUUAUCAGAAAGCACCGGCAAACUAUGUGCCAGCAGCCGCGGUAAUACAUAGGGUGCAAGCGUUAUCCGGAAUCAUUGGGCGUAAAGCGUCUGUAGGUGGUCUAUUAAGUCUAGAGUUAAAGCCUGGGGCUCAACCCCAGCCCGCUUUGGAUACUGAUAGACUAGAGUUAUAGAGAGGUCGGUAGAACUCCAUGUGAAGCGGUGGAAUGCGUAGAUAUAUGGAAGAAUACCAAUGGCGAAGGCAGCCGACUGGAUAUAUACUGACACUCAGAGACGAAAGCGUGGGUAGCAAACAGGAUUAGAUACCCUGGUAGUCCACGCCGUAAACGAUGAUCGUUAGCCGGUGGAAUUAAUCACUGGCGCAGCUAACGCGUUAAACGAUCCGCCUGAGUAGUAUGCUCGCAAGAGUGAAACUUAAAGGAAUUGACGGGGACCCGCACAAGCGGUGGAGCAUGUGGUUUAAUUUGAAGAUACGCGGAGAACCUUACCCACUCUUGACAUCCUCUGCAACGCUAUAGAGAUAUAGUUGAGGUUAACAGAGUGACAGAUGGUGCAUGGUUGUCGUCAGCUCGUGUCGUGAGAUGUUCGGUUAAGUCCGGCAACGAGCGCAACCCCUAUCUUUAGUUGCUAACAUUUAGUUGAGGACUCUAGAGAGACUGCCUGGGUAACCA